rnacentral:tRNA from 1 species
GGGGACGUAGCUCAGUUGGGAGAGCAUCUGGUUUGCAACCAGAGGGUCGUCGGUUCGAGUCCGAUCGUCUCCACCA